AGAACGAGCGCUGGCGGCGUACUUAACACAUGCAAGUCGGACGAGAAAGGGAGCUUCGGUUCCUGAGUAAAGUGGCGAACGGGUGCGUAACACGUAAGUAAUCUACCCUAGACACUGGGAUAACUUUCCGAAAGGGAGGCUAAUACCGGAUAGGUCCUUAGAGCAAUAGCCAUAAGGGGAAGCAGGCCUCUGUUGCAUGCUUGCAGUUUAGGAUGAGCUUGCGGCUCAUUAGCUAGUUGGUAGGGUAAAAGCCUACCAAGGCGACGAUGGGUAGCUGGUCUGAGAGGAUGAUCAGCCACACUGGCACUGAGACACGGGCCAGACUCCUACGGGAGGCAGCAGUGGGAAUUUUGCGCAAGUGGGCGAAGCCUGACGCAGUAACGCCGCGUGGAGGAUGAAGGUCCUUCGGUUGUAAACGUCCUGUUCAGGAGAACGACGGAAGUAGAAUAGAAUAAUUCUAUUACCAGACGUACCUACCAACGGACGACCCG
rnacentral:rRNA from 1 species